UACGUAGGGUCCGCGCGUUGUCCGGAAUUACUGGGCGUAAAGAGCUCGUAGGUGGUUUGUCGCGUUGUCCGUGAAAACUCACAGCUUAACUGUGGGCGUGCGGGCGAUACGGGCAGACUGGAGUACUGCAGGGGAGACUGGAAUUCCUGGUGUAGCGGUGGAAUGCGCAGAUAUCAGGAGGAACACCGGUGGCGAAGGCGGGUCUCUGGGCAGUAACUGACGCUGAGGAGCGAAAGCGUGGGGAGCGAACAGG
rnacentral:rRNA from 1 species